GUGAUGGUGAAGUCAGUACAAGUGUCUGUGUCUCUGUUUAGAAUCAGUGGGCUAUCACGCUCUCCAUCGAUCUUCCUCAGCAUGGAUCACUCCAAGUAAACACAGGAGGACAGCAAGUGCAAUAAAAAGGUGGAACAAUGUUAAUGUUUGCAGAUCCUGUUUCUCAAGAGGAAGUUUUAACUCUUUCUGCACACAGCCACAUUUCAGCCACCUUGCUGUCCCUGUACUUCCUUGUCAUGGCUGGAACUGGAAGCAGGCGGUACUGUGACAACAUAAGAAAGCCCAGACUCAGGGUAAUUUCCUCCCACCUGACGGGAAGCUGGGCAUUCUAGAUGUCUCACAAGAAAGCAUAUGAACAUCAGGCUUCCAAUCUGAAUUUGCAAGCCCAGGUAGUUGGGAAAAGGCUUGGAGAAACAUCCAAACUCUCACAUGGUUGUGCGAACUAAAUAUCUAACCAUCUGAGGUCUCCCCUGUGGUGUAUUUAGUCGUGCAACUGUGAUGCCUUUGGUUUCUGUAUUCUGCACCUUUAAAUCUGCAAGGACUCAGCUGUCUGCAGAGACGGGCAGCCAUUUUGUGUUCAAAUGACUG